GCAAGUCGAGCGACGCAUAUCGGAGGAGUAAUCCACUGGUAUGACGGAGCGGCGAACGGGUGAGUAUCACGUGAGAAACCUGCCCCGAAGACCGGGAUAGCCCGGGGAAACCCGGAUUAAUACCGGAUAUUCUCUACAGAUCGCAUGGUCUGUUGAGGAAAGGCCUUUGCGCUUCGGGAUGGUCUCGCGACCUAUCAGCUAGUUGGUGAGGUAAUGGCUCACCAAGGCAACGACGGGUAGCUGGUCUGAGAGGACGAUC
rnacentral:rRNA from 1 species